UACGUAGGGGGCCAGCGUUGCUCGGAAUUACUGGGCGUAAAGGGUUCGUAGGCGGUGCGGCAAGUCUUGCGUGAAAUCUCCCGGCUCAACCGGGAGGCUGCGCAGGAAACUGCCGUGCUCGAGUCCGGGAGAGGUGCGUGGAAUUGCAGGUGUAGCGGUGAAAUGCGUAGAUAUCUGCAGGAACACCAGAGGCGAAAGCGGCGCACUGGACCGGUACUGACGCUGAGGAACGAAAGCUAGGGGAGCAAACAGGAUUAGAAACCCCGGUAGU
rnacentral:rRNA from 1 species